rnacentral:rRNA from 1 species
UGCGAGGCUGCAAAUCUCUUAUAGAACAACUACAGUUCGGAUUGCAGGCUGCAACUCGCCUGCAUGAAGCCGGAAUCGCUAGUAAUCGCGGAUCAGCACGCCGCGGUGAAUACGUUCCCGGGCCUUGUACACACCGCCCGUCACACCACGAGAGUUUGUAACACCCGAAGUCGGUGAGGUAACCUUUUUGGAGCCAGCCGCCUAAGGUGGGAUAGAUGAUUGGGGUGAAGUCGUAACAAGGUAACCGUAUUU